rnacentral:rRNA from 1 species
GAGUUUGAUCGUGGCUCAGGAUGAACGCUAGCGGGAGGCCUAACACAUGCAAGCCGAGCGGUAUUGUUUCUUCGGAAAUGAGAGAGCGGCGUACGGGUGCGGAACACGUGUGCAACCUGCCUUUAUCUGGGGGAUAGCCUUUCGAAAAGGAAGAUUAAUACUCCAUAAUAUAUUGAACGGCAUCGUUUAAUAUUGAAAGCUCCGGCGGAUAGAGAUGGGCACGCGCAAGAUUAGCUAGUUGGUGAGGUAACGCUCACCAAGGCGAUGAUCG